AAAAGAAUACAGUCCUUGAUAUGAAUAACUUGCCAAGAGGCUAAUUUAGGGCAGCUUCUUUGGAGAUAUUGGAGAUUUGAGGCUUGACAUCUACUGAGCUCAAGAAAAGAGAAUUUUCUGCUGGGAGGAACUGAAGCCAAAAGAAGAAAUUGUGGACCUAGAAAGAACACGAGUCUAUGGAAGUAUUUGAAGCCCAGGGGAUUGUGGUGAAAAAGACAAACACUGCCCCAUCUGUCCUGAAACAGACAUUUCAGAGGAGGGAAAUGGAUGAUAAACAGGUAAGUAAAUACUGUAGGUAAACAGAAUGGUUUCAAAUCACAAUAAGUCCCAUGAAAUAAACACACAGACUGUGUCACAGGACUUUCAGCUGAGACCCCUUUGAGAUGCAGUGACUUCCCAUGUUUGCCUGAAAGGAUAGCUUCUUUAAUGUUAAAUCAGAAAAGCAGGCUGGGCACAGUGGCUCCUGCCUGUAAUCUCAGCACUUUGGGAGGCUGAGGUGGGAGGAUUACUUGAAACCAGGAGUUGGAGACCAGCCUGGGCAACAAAGGCAGACACUGUCUCUACAAAAAAUUUUAAAAAUAGCCAGGAGUGGUGGUGUGUGUCUGUAGUCCUUGAGGUAGGGUGGGAAGACAUAGGGAGCAAAAGCAUGGGAAGGAGGAUGUCACCAAGGCUGUAAUGAACUAGGAUCCUGUACUCCAGCCCAAGUAACAGAGCAAGACCCUGUCUAAAUACAAAAGAAAAGAAGAGGGUCUAGCCAAACAAUUCCCUGGACAAUUUUACUUCUGCUAGAAAAUACGUUGUGUAGCUCAAAUGAAAGUGUUUAGACCAAGAAACGUGUUGAUACCAAGGUGGUCAGCCAGUGUGGCUCUGGAAGCAGCAUGUAGUUUGGCAUCGUGGGUUUAACCUUUACAGGAUUAGUGAUUAAUUUUUACAAGGAGGCCCAAGUUAACAAAGUCUGAUAUAAGGCCA
rnacentral:lncRNA from 1 species